rnacentral:rRNA from 1 species
UACAGAGACUGCAAGCGUUAUUCGGAUUCACUGGGCGUAAAGGGUGCGCAGGCGGCCAAGUGUGUGAGGCGUGAAAGCCCGGGGCUUAACCCCGGAAUUGCACCUCAAACUACAUGGCUAGAGCAUUGGAGAGGGUAGCAGAAUUCAUGGUGUAGCAGUGAAAUGCGUAGAGAUCGUGAGGAAGACCAGUGGCGAAGGCGGGUCUCUGGACAGUUCCUGACACUGAGGCACGAAGGCCAGGGGAGCAAACGGG